AUUGAACGCUGGCGGCAUGCUUUACACAUGCAAGUCGAACGGUAACAGGCCUUCGGGUGCUGACGAGUGGCGAACGGGUGCGUAAUGCAUCGGAAUGUACCCAGAGGUGGGGGAUAACGCAGCGAAAGCUGUGCUAAUACCGCAUGUGAUCUGAGGAUGAAAGCGGGGGACCGAGCAGCAAUGUUUGGCCUCGCGCCUUUGGAGCGGCCGAUGUCGGAUUAGCUAGUUGGUGGGGUAAAGGCCUACCAAGGCGACGAUCCGUAGCUGGUCUGAGAGGACGACCAGCCACACUGGGACUGAGACACGGCCCAGACUCCUACGGGAGGCAGCAGUGGGGAAUUUUGGACAAUGGGCGCAAGCCUGAUCCAGCAAUGCCGCGUGCGGGAAGAAGGCCUUCGGGUUGUAAACCGCUUUUGGCAGGAACGAAACGGUGUCCGCUAAUACCGGGCGCUAAUGACGGUACCUGCAGAAUAAGCACCGGCUAACUACGUG
rnacentral:rRNA from 1 species